GCAUAUCAAUAAGCGGAGGAAAAGAAACCAACAGGGAUUGCCUUAGUAGCGGCGAGUGAACCGGCAAAAGCUCAGAUUUGAAAGCCUUUCGGGGCAUUGUAUUCUGAAGCCUUGGUCCUGGGAACCGAUGUCCAAGUCUUCUGGAAAGGAGCGCCAUGGAGGGUGAUAGCCCCGUACGACAUUGAACCCAUUGUAGGACUUUGGCAUGGAGUCGAGUUGUUUGGGAAUGCAGCUCAAAUGGGUGGUAUGCUCCAUCUAAAGCUAAAUAUCUGCGAGAGACCGAUAGCGAACAAGUACUGUGAAGGAAAGAUGAAAAGAACUUUGAAAAGAGAGUGAAAUAGUAUGUGAAAUUGUUGAAAUGGAAGGGUAGGCCGCUAACCAUGCAGGGUCGUGUCUGGGGGAAGGAUAAAAGCUGAAGAACGUAGCUCCUCGGAGUGUUAUAGCUUCAGUCCAUACUUCCACCCGGGCGCGAGGACCUAAGACUCUGCUAAAUGGUGGUCUACCACCCGUCUUAAACACGGACCCCCGAGGACUGCGUCUUUGACUAGGAUGUUGGCAUAAUGAUCUUAAGUCGCCCGUCUUGAAACACGGACC
rnacentral:rRNA from 1 species